rnacentral:rRNA from 1 species
UACAGAGGUGGCAAGCGUUGUUCGGAAUUACUGGGCGUAAAGGGCGCGUAGGCGGUCCUGUAAGUCCUGUGUGAAAUCCCUCGGCUCAACUGAGGAACUGCACGGGAUACUGGCUCGCUAGAGUGCGGUAGAGGGUGGUGGAAUUCCCGGUGUAGCAGUGAAAUGCGUAGAGAUCGGGAGGAACAUCUGUGGCGAAGGCGGCCACCUGGACCAACACUGACACUGAGGCACGAAAGCGUGGGGAGCAAACAGG